rnacentral:snoRNA from 1 species
CCCCUCUCAGGGUCACACCUGGAGAGUUUCCAGUACUCUACCAGACUCGGCUAUGGGAGGGAGAAUCAAGCAGAGGCCUACCAAUUCCAUUCCUAGCUUGGUCAGUGGCUAGCGAGCGUAAGGCAUCUGCUACAAGU